GGUAUUGAUACGCCAUGUAAAUUCGAUUUUAUUUCUUUGUAUUAAGUCCUGUCUCUUAAAACGUAGUGAUUAUAUUCUCUUUGGUCCGUCAUAGCGUCGUGUUGUGACGUUGACAAGUGGAUACUUUUAUAUAUAAUUUUCAUCAGUGAAAAUAAGUUUGUUAUUCAAAUAAAUUAUUUUUAAUAAAGUAUAUUUAAUAAUCUUUCAAGCCAAUAUGAGUCUAGUAGCAAAUACCGGUAAAUUAGCUGGUAGGACGCUGUUUAUAACUGGCGCUUCUCGUGGUAUUGGAAAA